GCUAGCAUGGUGUAGUGGUUUGAGUGUUGGAUUGGAACUCCAAGGGACCAUGGUUUGAAUCCCAGUUUGGUCA